UGAGUAAUUGAUAUAUCAUAGUGAAAUUUUGUAGUCUGUUAUAGCCCAAGAUCUGAAAUUCAGAAAUGUCUUUAUAUUACAGGGUGUUUUCAGAGAUGGUGGUCGCAUUAGAAGAAAGCUUUGGAUGAAAGACCAGGAUUGAUUUACAUCCUCAUUGAAUCAAGUUUUCAUUACCAAGAAAUGGUGUUGCAGAAAAAAAAUGUUCAAGCUCAGUUGCCUAAGCUAACUGGUUUCUUUUAUAAAAGGUAUGAAGUAUGGCAGUAAAGAUUUAUGCCAUCAGAGUGGAAUUUCAGAGUUGUUUGGCCAAAGAAGCAUUUUGAAGUUCAGAUAUCUACAGUAGAUGGUCACCUCUAUGAACAGGUUAUAUUAAAAGAAAUGGUUUGGCUGAAGAAGCAGGAAGCUCAAGACACCUGUGGGAACUGUCAACCUUAUUGAAAGAUUACAUUUAAAAAAAAAUGGGUUGGCUGAAGAAACGUGAAGAUUGGAUAUUCAUUGUAACCAGUGCCCAUUAUUAGAUUGAAGGAAAAUGAAAUGGGUUGGCUGAAGAAAUGCGAAGAUUGGAUAUUCAUUGUAACCAGUGCCCGUUAUUAGAUUGAAGGAAAAGGCAAUGUUUUUGCCGAAGAACUAAUGCGAAGCCGAAGAUACCUUUAAGGACAACUGGAUGGCUUCAUGAAAAAGAUGUGUAGCAGAAUAGUUUGUGCCAUCAGAGUGUAAAUCAGAUCCAGCCCAGUCUCGCUCUCCUUCAAGGAUAAAAUAUUGCUUGGACUUUGCAAGCACAACCACAAAAUGGAUUUGUUAAUAUGUAUUGUAUUUUAUAAUAAAGUAUUCUUAAUAAAAA